AGGGCUCGGUCGGGCUGAGGUGGGGAGAGCUGAGUGGAAGUGACAAGGCAGGGGCUUCGCCAAGAGAGCCAGUCUUAGCCAGCCUGACUUUGCCUCGCCCUAGGCGUGACCUAGCCUUUACUGGAUCCCGGUCUACGUCACCACCAACAAUACUAAAGUUCAGGGGUAGGGAACCUAUGGCUCUAGAGCCAGAUGUGGCUCUUUUGAUGACUGCACCCGGCUCUUGGAUAAAUCUUAGCUGACAUCGCUUAACACGUCCUAAGGAUAUCCACCCAUCUAUCCAUUUUCUACCGCUUAUUCCCUUAAGGGUGGCGGGGGGCACUGGAGCCUAUCUCAGCUACAGUCGGGCGUAAGGUGGGGUACACCCUGGACAAGUCGCCACCUCAUCACAGGACCUAAGGGGUGGCGGGGGGCACUGGAGGCUAUUUCAGCUACAGUCGGGCGUAAGGUGGGGUACACCCUGGACAAGUCGCCACCUCAUCACAGGACCUAAGGAAUCCAGCUGAAAUUCUUCAUCUUUCAUCUGGAAUCCUGGGUGCAAGAAAAAGGGGACCACUUCAUGAGCUUACCACAUCCUGAUGAAGAUGCAGAUGAUGUGGUCCUGAUGGCUUCAUCUGAUCGGGAUCUUCAGCUCUCACUGGAUCGGUUUGCAGCCGAGUGUGAAGCGACCGGAAUGACAAUCAGCACCUCAAAGUCCGAGUCCAUGGCUCUCGCCCGGAAAAGGGUGGAAUGCCAUCUCCGGGUUGGGGAGGAGACCCUGCCCCAAGUGGAGGAGUUCAAGUACCUAGGAGUCUUGUUCACGAGUGAGGGAAGAGUGGAUCGUGAGAUCGACAGGCGGAUCGGUGCGGCGUCUUCAGUAAUGCGGACGUUGUACCGAUCUGUUGUGGUGAAGAAGGAGCUGAGCCGGAAGGCAAAGCUCUCAAUUUACCGGUCGAUCUACGUUCCCAUCCUCACCUAUGGUCAUGAGCUUUGGGUCAUGACCGAAAGGAUAAGAUCACGGGUACAAGCGGCCGAAAUGAGUUUCCUCCGCCGUAAGGCGGGGCUCUCCCUUAGAGAUAGGGUGAGAAGCUCUGUCAUCCGGGAGGAACUCAAAGUAAAGCCGCUGCUCCUCCACAUCGAGAGGAGCCAGAUGAGGUGGUUCGGGCAUCUGGUCAGGAUGCCAACCGAACGCCUCCCUAGGGAGGUGUUUAGGGCACGUCCAACCGGUAGGAGGCCACGGAGAAGACCCAGGACACGUUGGGAAGACUAUGUCUCCCGGCUGGCCUGAGAAUGCCUCGGGAUCCCCCGGGAAGAGCUGGACGACGUGGCUGGGGAAAGGGAAGUCUGGGUUUCCCUGCUUAGGCUGUUGCCCCCGAGACCCGAUCUCGGAUAAGCGGAAGAAGAUGGAUGGAUGUUUUUAUAUUUAUUUAUUUUUUGUUUUUAUUCAGUCAUUGGUGGAGCAUAAUGUUUUUUUUAAUAUUGUUUUUAACAUGGCUGGAAACUACUGGAAACGUUAUUGUUGUUUAAAUGUGCUAUAUAAAUAAAGUGUGUUGGAUUUGCUGCCACCUUUCCCAACUUCUUUAUCAUGUGUUGCCGGCAUCAAAUUCUAAAGUUAAUGAUUAUUUGCAAAAAAAAAAUGUUUAUCAGUUUGAACAUCAAAUAUGUUGUCUUUGUAGCAUAUUAACCCGAAUAUGGGUUGAAAAUGAUUUGCAAAUCAUCGUAUUCCAUCUAACGCAAUUUCCCAACUCAUAUGGAAACGGGGUUAGUAUAUAACAAUGUGACAUGACUCUAAAAAUGCAAAUAAUACUGCUAUAAGCGUAGUCAGAAUGCUCCCAGCUAUUAUGUUUACGCAGCCGUUCCAUGUGACUAGAUACCAUUACAUUUAAAAUGACAGCAGGUUGACGGAAAAGUCAAGGGAAAACAAAUCCCGUGGCGAUAUUCUUAUUUAUUUUUUGUUCUCCUCCCAAAAAAAAAAAUAUAUGUGUUCUCAGUUCACAAGUCAGGAACGCUUCCUUUAUGCAUGAGUUUUCUCGGCACCGAGUGUCUUAUAGACAGGAGACUAGUGAUCCCCAAGCUGGGAGCCGGGCUUGUCACUCUCGGCUGUGUGAACGGUGCACGAGAGAGUGAGAUAGGCAGCAGGUUAAGGCCUGAGGUGCAGGGCAGGUUUUUUUUUCUUGUUUUGCAUCUGGUUUUAUUUAUUAUGCAGGAGUUCCUACCGGAGUUAGGUGUAGUAGGGGAGUUGGCCUGGCUGUUCUGCACGGCGGCGGCUGCGGCGUGCGCCGCGUUUACAGCCGUCUUGGCCGCGUAGAGGUUGGCCUCCUCCUGAAACUUGCCGAUGUUUUUCUUGUAGCGGAUGCGUUUGUUGCCGAACCAGUUGGAUACCUGCGUGGGAGAGCACAGAGGGGAGGAGCAGAGGAGUCAGACGUCGAGUUCACUGAGCAGUGAGACUGUUUCAAGAUGUCAUGUUUGGGUCCAUCAAGUACCCAAUUCCCAGCCCCUGCAGCAAUGUCCACUGGGUACACAAGCUAAUUAAGAGAUAAUAAGGAGCCACUUGUGUCUUCCCAUGGAUGGGAGCCUGACACGCUCUCAGCUGCGUCUCCUGACAGAACCCAAACACGAGGGGCCCCUGCUGCUUUGACACGUCGUCACGCUAGUGUGUGCGGCUGGUUGUUAAGGCGACUCACCUCCCUC